rnacentral:rRNA from 1 species
AUUGAACGCUGGCGGCAGGCCUAACACAUGCAAGUCGAGCGGAGCGGCGGACGCGGGAGUAAUGCUUAGGAAUCUGCCUGGUAGUGGGGGAGAACGUCCGGAAACGGGCGCUAAUACUGCAUACUAUCAGAUGAGCCUAGGUCGGAUUAGCUAGAUGGUGGGGUAGAGGCCUACCAAGGCGACGCUCCGUAUCUGGUCUGAGAGGAUGAUCAGUCACACUGGAACUGAGACACGGUCCAGACUCCUACGGGAGGCAGCAGUGGGGAAUAUUGGACAAUGGGCGAAAGCCUGAUCCAGCCAUGCCGCGUGUGUGAAGAAGGUCUUCGGAUUGUAAAGCACUUUAAGUUGGGAGGCGUUACCAACAGAAUAAGCACCGGCUAACUUCGUGCCAGCAGCCGCGGUAAUUC